AACGAACGCUGGCGGCAUGCCUAACACAUGCAAGUCGAACGAGACCUUCGGGUCUAGUGGCGCACGGGUGCGUAACGCGGGGGAACCUGCCCUUAGGUUCGGAAUAACUCCCCGAAAGGGGUGCUAAUACCGGAUAAUGUCUUCGGACCAAAGAUUUAUCGCCUUUGGAUGGGCCCGCGUUGGAUUAGCUGGUUGGUAGGGUAAAAGCCUACCAAGGCGACGAUCCAUAGCUGGUCUGGGAGGAUGAUCAGCCACACUGGGACUGAGACACGGCCCAGACUCCUACGGGAGGCAGCAGUGGGGAAUAUUGGACAAUGGGCGAAAGCCUGAUCCAGCAAUGCCGCGUGAGUGAUGAAGGCCUUAGGGUUGUAAAGCUCUUUUACCCGGGAUGAUAAUGACAGUACCGGGAGAAUAAGCUCCGGCUAACUCCGUG
rnacentral:rRNA from 1 species